rnacentral:rRNA from 1 species
GAUUCUGGCUCAGGACGAACGCUGGCGGCGUGCUUAACACAUGCAAGUCGAACGGGGAUUAGCUGAUUGAGAGUUCGACAGGAUAGAGGCUAAUUUCAGUGGCGGACGGGUGAGUAACGCGUGAGCAACCUGUCCCAGACAGGGGGAUAACACUUGGAAACAGGUGCUAAUACCGCAUGAGACCACAGGUGGACAUCCACCAGGGGUAAAAGGUGUAAACCGGUUUGGGGUGGGCUCGCGUCCGAUUAGAUAGUUGGUGAGGUAACGGCCCACCAAGUCGACGAUCGGUAGCCGACCUGAGAGGGUGAUCGGCCACAUUGGAACUGAGAGACGGUCCAAACUCCUACGGGAGGCAGCAGUGGGGAAUAUUGGGCAAUGGGCGAAAGCCCUGACCCAGCAACGCCGCGUGAGUGAUGAAGGCCUUCGGGUUGUAAAGCUCUGUUAUAGGGGACGAAGGAAGUGACGGUACCCUAUAAGGAAGCCCCGGCUAACUACGUGCCAGCAGCCGC